AUUGAACGCUGGCGGUAGGCCUAACACAUGCAAGUCGAACGCGAAAGUCCUUCGGGAUGAGUAGAGUGGCGGACGGGUGAGUAACGCGUAGGAAUCUAUCCUGUAGUGGGGGAUAACGUUUCGAAAGGAACGCUAAUACCGCAUACGCCCCACGGGGGAAAGCGGGGGAGUCUUCGGACCUCGUGCUAUAGGAGGAGCCUGCGUCGGAUUAGCUAGUUGGUGAGGUAAAGGCUCACCAAGGCGACGAUCCGUAGCUGGUCUGAGAGGAUGAUCAGCCACACCGGAACUGAGACACGGUCCGGACUCCUACGGGAGGCAGCAGUGGGGAAUAUUGCGCAAUGGGCGAAAGCCUGACGCAGCCAUACCGCGUGUGUGAAGAAGGGCCUUCGGGUUGU
rnacentral:rRNA from 1 species